rnacentral:rRNA from 1 species
UGGGUAACCUGCCUCAAAGAGGGGAAUAGCCUCCCGAAAGGGAGAUUAAUACCGCAUAAUAUGUUUAGGUCGCAUGACUUUAACAUCAAAGGAUUUUCUUUUAGAAAUUCCACUUUGAGAUGGACCCNGGCGC